rnacentral:antisense_RNA from 1 species
GCUACUGCCACGUAAGGAGUGUCUUUCGCCUCCCGCCAUGAUUCUGAAGCCUCCCCAGCCAUGUGCAACUGCGUGUUUACUGCUCUGGGCCCAGUGCCUCCCUCGCUCAAUGGAAGUGACGGCAUCCAACUCACAAGACAGGAGACUCAACAGAAUGACCAAGUGGAGAAGACAUCUAAGUUCUCAGCGGUCUCAGCCGAAUGAGUGAAGAGGAACCAGGGACAGGGAUGACUCACAUGGGAAGAGGACCCCACUUUGUUCUGUUUGAUUCUAAGAGGACACAAACCGCUUCAUUCAUUUCAGUUUCCCCAGCACCUGGCUUAACUCUCAGACAUGUUAGACGGUUUGUAAGCACUGGCUCUACUGAACUGGCAUCAAAUCAGGACCUGGUUCAGAAGAGACACGAGGACUGGAUCUGUUCUAAACAGAUUGUGCAAAGGGGAAAGACACAGACUCAGCAUUUCCACAGCUUUUAACAUUUCAGCGAGAGGUAAGAAAGCAUGUCAGGAACACAGGCCCGGCUGAUGAAAGUGUCUGAUGCUAACACAUGAACUGUCUUCUGCUGGGCACACUAAGGGGCCACAAGCAAGCUACGCCCCAGAGCCACUCCACAUUCUCUCUGGGUGCACUGGCCCUCGGUCACGCAAGGCCGCGCCAGCCUCCGAGGUGAGCCAGAAGGACACACACCUGUGGACUCGAUGUCCCUGACUUGGGCUCGAUGGCCAGCCCCAGGGUGACUCCGCCCGCCAGCGCUUUCUUCAGGCUCUCCUUGACCUCCGUCAGCUCCAGCUCCAGGCUGACUCGCUCCGCCUCCUUCUGCCGGCACUCCUCCUCCAGCUGCUUCAGCUUCUCCUCCAGGAUCGCCUGCGGCUUCCUGCCUGGAAUUCCCAGAAACGCCGUUACUCCCGCGGCAGGCACAGGUUCUCCAAACAACAGAGAAGGCACCUAGUCCCCGAGAAGAACUUCCACAAAACGUCUGAGGUCGAGCUCCCCUGACUUAGGUCUUCGUUGUGAAACUUAAAUUCAGCAGUUCUCUAAGGGACCAGAGUCCUUCUCCUACCAUUUCCCUUUGCUGCAGCUGUUGAGGACUCGGACCAGGAAAGAGGAGAUGCUGAUUCUGACGAAGGCCAGGAGCUCCUGGCUCUGGGCCUCAAUGUUCUCAUUUUAAAACGUGGACCCUAAACUCCACAGUUCCCAACGCUGCCACCUUCUUGGAGUGUGAACCCUGUCCUCCCCUAACGCUCCGCCGAUCCUUCAGUCAUCUUAUUUGCGCCCGAGGCAAUGAGCAGUAGCACAGCUUGCAUCUCUACUGGACACGGCACACAUUUCUUUAAGGCACAUUCACUUAUUUUAUUUGAGGUUUGCUGCAGUGACCUAAGAUGCACCCACUGGGCAGAUGAGAACACCAAUCCCAAGAGGUGAACGGACUUGUGCCCAGGGCCUGGGCCGGUGGUGGCCGGCAGGCGAGGUUCUCUUUUUCAAAGCCAAAAGCACUCCUGGCCCUCCUGCAUCUUCACUAUCCUGCAAGCUGGGAACACGGGAGAAAUGCUACUUCUGUCUCGUUAAACUCCAUGCCCCGUCCCAUUCUCUGGCACAGCCUCCUCCCGUAGGGUCAGCCUCAGACUGCAGGCCACAUCCUGGGCCUCCUAUAGGGUCAGCCUGACCUGCCCUGCCAACACCUGCCUUCCCUCCUCUAAACUCCAAAAGCAUUUCCCUUCAUCAGAUCAUUGAGGCACAAAGUCCAGCAAGACUAACCACCUGCUGGGUGUGCGUCAGCUCCUCCCCGCGCGGCGAGCCAUGGGAAGGCCACAGCUUCUUCUCUGGACCGCCCAGGCCUCUGAGGCAUCUGAAGCCCCCGUCCCAGCCCAGGCCAGUACAAUCUCAAUCUAAGGAGCCAGUCUUCCGCAGUCUAAGCACCGGGCUGGAAGGGAGGCCAUGCGUAGGUAAGCGGUGCCACCCCAGGCUCAGGAGCUGAGCGCCAGCUCCUGCCAGCAGGAAUUGCACGCGCCUGGCCCAGGGCUGCCACUCUGGCUGCAGACUCAGUUUCUGUGACUUCAGUCCCUUUCUGGUGUCUGUAUUCCAUUAGCCUGGCCUCUUCCCUGAUGCAUCCCAAGACAGAUGUUGCCUUGCUCUCGCCUGUCCCUUCUCAACAAACAAGGGGCUGCUUCUACCCUUGUCUGGACUUCUGAAUAUUACUGACCCCUGUGGGCUACCCUCUGUAGAGAAAUCCAGCUGAUCCCUCCUACCCGGUGACCAGAAUCCACUGCGCCCUGCGGAUACAGGGGCCAUCCUCCAGACAACCUCUGUUGUCAGCGCCAGAAGCCGGAACAGGUCCCCCAGCACCUCCCCUGCCUCGGUGAGCAGCGUGUGGGUCUGGCCCUGGCCUCUGCCUGCACGCCGCAUGUUUGACCACACAGGCACCUGCCUCGGGGUUACCAGCAAUGUUUCCAAGCCCCAAGAAACACUGUGAAAUAACCCACUCUUACUAAAUAGAAUGACAGCCUUGGUGAGCAAUAGGUCCUUUGGGCAAAGCAGAAUGAAAUCUCCAGUCUCUAAUACAAACAUGCACCCUGGGCAGUCACCCACACCCUUCAUACCGGCGUUCACUUCCAUAGCCGCUCGAAGGUCUUUUCUUUCCUUGCGGAGCUGGGCCAGCCUAUUCCGCAGGGCCUCUUUCCUCUUCAGCAGCUCCUCCUCUUUGGUCUGUAGCCGCUUGGCAUCUGCUUCUACCCGGUUCUUGCCAUACUUGUACUGGGCAGCAUCUUGAGAAGAAAAAGCAGCAGCAAUUAAAAAUUACGUUUACCAGCCUGGGAAAUAUGGGACGAUCCCUUCUCUACAAAAAAUACAAAAUUAGCCAGGCAUGGCGGCACAUGCCUGUAGUCCCAGCUACUCAGGAGGCUGAGGUGGGAGAAUCGCUGGAGCUUGGGAGCUUGAGGCUGCAGUGAGCUGUGAUCCUGCCACUGUGCUCCAGCCUGGAUGACAGUGAGACCCCGUGUCAAAAAAAAAUUAGGUUUAUUGAAGCAGAUAAUGGGGUAACUCAAAAAGCCUGUUGAAUCAGCCAACUCAGUAAACAAACACAAAGCGUUAUUUUGCUAAUUCAACAAGAAAAGGGCAGGGCUGGUAAGAACCAAGCAGAAAAGUGACUAGUUCAAAUUCUCCAAUAUUCUUUGAAUCAAUAUUCUUAAAAAUUGAUUCAAAUUUUUGAAUCAAUUUCUUAAAAACGAAAACAGAAUAUUAGGAAAUUCCUUUAAUUCACUUCCCUUUGAGGCACAUGGCUUAUAAUUAAUCUGCAACAAGGUGGAGAAUGAACAUUCUAUAAUCGGAAAAGACAGGAGUUAUAUCAAAAAUAGUGUCUGAAAUUUGCUUCCUUCUCUACGUCUUCAAAUCCUUCCCUAACACCGCAGUAUCUGUUCCUUAUGGCCAUGUCAUCUGACUGGCUCUGAAUUGCUGCUACACCCCCAGCACUGAGAUUAGCACCCGGCACGGAGUGUGGCACAAUAAAUGCUUGUUUAGUGAAUAAAUGAACAACGGAUACAUGAAGAGGCAACCAGGAGCGGUAUCUGGAGCCUGACUGUCUAGGAAGGAGUCCCAGCUUACACUUGUAGCUGCAUGACCUGGAACAGGGCACGAAUCCCUCUGUGCCUCAGUUUCCCUCAUCUGUGAAAUGGGGAUAGUAAGAGCAGGUAAUUCACUGAGUGGUUACGAGGAUUAAAUAUUUAUAAAGCACUUAGAACAAACACAAAUGGGCAACACAUAAAUGCUUAUUUCAUAAAAUGAAUAAAUGAAGAGGAAACUAGCUGUAGGGAAAAUUUACAGACUUGGCAACAUCACAUCACCAGUGAAAACAGCUUUCAAAACCUGACCCCACGCUCUCCUCCUCUUAUUAUGUUGGCUUUUCAAUAACAGUAAUUUAGGACAACACCUCUUUGUUAAGACACAUGGAAGAGAUGAAGGUUCCAACAAAACUCGGAUGGAGGAUCACCGAUUUCAAAGCUUCCGUGGUCUCCCAGUCGCUUCUAACAAUCACUCACGCCUGAAGGCAACUCCCAGGCCUUCCUGACUGCACGCCCCACGUGUCUGACUCCCUCGCGAGGCUAGAAACUACUUCGGGUAGAAGCCACAGGGGUGGCAUAAUGAUUAAGAAUAAAAACACUGGACUCAGAGAGGUGGCUAGAAACCCACACUCCACCCUCCCUUGCUACAUGACUCUGCAAGCAACCUCCGGAGAAGCUCAGCUUCACCCUCUCUAAAGCAGAAACGAGAAGGAAUCCUGUGUGUGUGCAUGUGUGUGUGCAUGCGUGUGCAUGCGUGUUUUAAAUUAGAACGUUAUAUCUGAAAAAAAUCUAACAAAAUGAUACGACGCCUGAUGUAGUGGACAUUCACUGACAAUUCUUACCAUAUCAGCGAUAAGCGAUUCCCAGAGCCUUGUCCACUCAGGGACAGCAGGGAGCCAUUUCUAGCACCUGUCCUAAAUGCUGGAUUUGCCAAUUCUUGCAACGUAAGUUAUCAUGAUUUCAAUGAAAUACUGCAUUUAUGAAGGCAUAAAAAGUGAUCAUUCCCCAGUCAAUUUUCCCCUAAUCAAAAGAAACACAUAGAAUGACAGCAAAAGCGUCGGCAGCCUGAGGAGAGGCGAAGCAUUCGACAAUCUGAAACAAAAGGAUCGUUGUUUGCAGCUAAGGUUAACAACAUAUUUUGCAAACAGGGCCAAGUCCAAACUCUACUCGCUUAUUUCUAAACUAAGCUGUUUCCCCAAUGAACUCAAUGCAAUCACCUAUAAAUUUCCACAUCUUUUGGUCCCCAUGUAAUAAAUCCCAUCUAAUCUAUAAUGCAACUGGCUGGAUUCAAGCAAAAACACGGAAUGCCAUUAUUUUUCUCUUUUGUCACCAUUAGAUGUCACCACAGUUAAUAAAAACUCCCUACAGAAGAUCCCAUAAAAUAAAGGAAUAAAUCAUCUAGGAAAUAAAGUCAGCACAGGUACUGACAGAGAAACACCAUGGCGACUGAGACUCCGUGGGACUCGGAUUUUGCUUGUAACAAAGCUUUCCAGGUGUGAGGUGCUCCUCUCCCCCAUCUGCCCCUCCUCAAAGAAACAACACUAAAAGAGGUGAAAGUAAAUACACCCGAUACAUUCAGGAAGUAAGAUUUGCCAGAUAAGGUCAAAGGAAGUUAGUACAUUAAAUAAAUGGUGGUAGGAGGGAGGAUUUGGCCCAACUGGCUCCAACCUAUCUGGUCAACACGUAUGUUGGGUAGAACAGAGGUGGAGAAAAGCCUAGAUCAGGGAUGUAUACGCUUCCUUGGGGCAGACGCAGCCUGGCCCUGCGGAGCGAUUUCAAGCCUCGUUCACGAACAUGGCCAAGGACACUGCCAGCCUCUUCAUUCCCCUGUGUGGAUGCUCCGACUCCAAAAAUGGAACCACAGGGCAAAUGGAUGUCGGCACGUGUCGGUAUGGCAGCCUCGCUCUUCGACAGCUGGUGUGGGGGUUACCAACUGGGGCUAGCUGGCCUCAUCUUCGUUAGCACUGAGACUGGUCUACCAGUUGCACAGAUUCAGAUUUGAAAAUCUCAGGUGCAAAUCCCAAGUGGCGAUGGCAUGUAACCACAUCAAACUCAACAUCUGCACCUAACUCCCACCUUCUUUCUCUGGGAAAUCUUCCUGGACAUGCUCAGAUGGACUCAGGAGCCCCUCACCUGUAAAUCCCCACACUGCAGCCCUGCCACUUGCUUGUCUGCAUGUGUGGGUCCGCUGGACCACUUUGGUGUAUCUUUGAGCCCCUUGAGUGAAAAAAUGCUGCCUGGCUGGCUCCCUGAUUAGACAUCCAACAUAAUGAGGACUAACACCAAUACAAACACUUAAGAGAUGACAUAUCGCCCUAGCUGGAUCUACUAGAGGGAAGGGAAGAGGGUGCUGGGUCCAGGCAGGCUGAGUGUCUCAUGUCUUAAUGCUUCUCUGCCCAAUCUAUUUCCGGCUGGAUGUGGAGUCUGAAAGCCUGGCACCCACUCUGGCUCUGUGAUUUACCAGCUGUGAGCCUUGGGGGAGCUGCUUACUCUCUUGGUGAUUCUUUUCUCAUUUCUAUGAUGGGGUAGAGGAUAAUGCCUAUGCUUACAAAGUGGCUGUGGGAAGUAAACCGGAUGGGAUAAGAAUGGCUUGCUGUGGACCACAGGCACCGCAGGAUAACCAUUCCUCAGAACUCCUCGUACUGCUCUAGUGCUUGGAGGUCCAUGUAUUACCUCAGCUAUUCCAACCGCACCAACCACGGGAGCCACGUGUCUACAUCUGACAGAUAAAGAUGCUGAGUUUAGAGUCUGAAAGGCUUGACAACCACAGAUCAGGGACAGGAGCUGAGGUCUCCUGACCUGGAGCCCAGGGCCACCCGGAGCUGCAAGAAACCUGCACUCACAACUGCCUCCUAUUUUAAAAUGCUGAGUCGAUCCCACAGGUGGCAAACCAGUUCUGGGCUUCAAUUUACAAGCACAGUCAGAAAAGCUGGGUUGAAAUCGCCACUGUCCUUCUAUGUGGCUGAUGAGGAAGGAUGACGGUGCCCACCGCUCCAUCUCUCCAGCUGACCCCAAGCUGGCACUCACGGGUGGGCAGGCUCAGACAGGCCCAGCUCCACCAAGUGUACUUGAAGCCGGAAUGCAAGACAUCCGAUGGUAUACUUACUCGAACCCAUCCUUUUCACAACAGCCGCGGGAUCCGCUUUUUUUGGCUGACUGCUCAGAGUCUUCCCUUUUCCUGUGACCCCAUUAGACGCCACGGGGGGCUUUUUACCCUUGAGCUGUUGAAAUAAACAUAUAAGAACAUUAAAAAUAAACACAAAGUCAAACAAA